GGAUGGCUCAGUGGUUAGAGCACUGGCUGCUCUUCCAGAGGUCCUGAGUUCAAUUCCCAGCAACCA
rnacentral:tRNA from 1 species